UACGAAUAUAAAUAUCACAAACAAUUACUUACACCUGACUUUUUAAACUAGUUAUUUAUCAGAAACCAAAGACGGAAAAAUACCUUUAACAGCUGCUAUUAUUUGACUAUCGAAUCAGAAAUCAAGGAACUAAAAACAUAUCACAGCUCUAUUAUAAUUGAUCUACAGGUUCGUGUACUUGACAUAUCGAUUGAAGCUCAUAAAAAAGUCGGUUUGAUUGAGUCUUCAGUAAACUCAAACUUAAACAACAAACAAGAGGUUCAGCAAGGAGGAUUCUGUGGAAUAGCUAUUUAAACCUCUAUGUUGAAAUUUCUCCAUCUUAGAACUCUUGAGUUGAAAGAGGGUAAAAAUUAAAUAUCAAAGUUCGGUGUAUUCAUAAGAUGAAUACCCAGUAAGUGAUUAUGAUUUUAAAACUAUUACGAGAAGCCUGUAAAAUAUUCAGAAAAUUGUGAUAUUGUGGUUAAAUGAAACUAAAUUAAGGUCCCCUUAUUAGAAAAGCAACAAAAACUAAUUUGUAUCCUCUUUUACCAUCGUAUCUUGAAAUUUUUAACAAGACCAUAAGAGGUUUCUAAAACUUUCGGUUUAUGCCAAUGAACACUAGCCGCACCCCAUUGGUCAGUAAUAAGUCUGAGGGUUUAUAAAGCUCAAAAUCCAGUUUUGAUACCAGUGUUGGGCAGAGCACAGAUAGCACAUUGUGUUACUCCGUGUUUAACAGCAAUAAAACUGAAUACAAGCCACAGUUUGACUAGACACUAAUGUUUUUCUUUGUAUGUUCUUGCAAUCGGUCCUUUUUAGCAAGAAUAGUUGGAAAAUUUCCUUUAAGUCAAUCCAGUUUUGUUUGAUGUUUUCUAGUGGACUAGAAUAAUUACUAAGAACAGUAGUGCUCAUCUGUCAGUCUACUCAAUUUCUUCAGCCGAUAUAACCAUUUGUUAUAAAUCAUGGAACUUCAAACCUGCAAUAAGAUUAAAAGUAGUCAUUUCUAGCUCAAUGAUUGAAACUACUGUGUCUUGUAUAAUGAAAAUACUAAUAUGAUUAGCAUAAGCUGUAAUGGGAAACUGUAUAUAAUAUAAAAGGGCAAGCCACUGAGAGAUUAACCUUGGUGCAUUCAUCAAUGGAACCUAACUUUACUCAAAGGAUAGAACCACAUAUAUUAUUAAAGGAAAAAUUAACCCAUCGAAAAAAUAAAUAAAUAAAUAGAAUUUAGGCUGUGACGUACCUUAAUGCUGUGGUUCUACAACGAGAAAAAAGUCGAGGGUGAGAAACUAAUUUCGUAUAACACAGUAGGUCCUCACUUUAUCAGAUAAAUUAUCAUCCAGGCUAUUGAUUUAAUAAACAGAAUCUUUGAUAUUUGUAAUAUUUAUAAAAUUAUUUUUAUUACAGAUUAUUCCGAAGACCGAUAUUUUCAACUGAACUGUAUCGUGGAGUCUUGUUAUACCGGUCAGUUGAUAGCGGAGACUAGUUACAGCACCUCUUGUCCAGUUAGUUCACCUGCGGAGAGGACUGAAAAUCUUUGUACUAGUCACCUAAGUGGCAUUAAUACAUCAAACAGAAGUCCAAGACGAACUAGUCCUGAGGGCGUGACAUACGCUGAGUUGGCUCUGCCUAGAAUUGGCCAAUGCUCUUCAGCCGUUAGACAGCAGGAACCACCGACAGAGUACGCCACUAUCAGAGGUCAGCUGCAAGAUACAGAGGAUGAUGACUGUACCACCUCAUGUGAAACACCAUUAAUGAGUGGUGGUAGACGAGAAAGUGCAGUUUAGGGAAAGAGGAAGAGACACACAAAAGGGACCAAUCACCCAGAAUAUAAGAAGAUGACCUCCAAGGUCUUCCUUAUGAAUUCUGAUCGUAUAGAACUUAUAUUAAAGAUUAGGCAAGGAAAGAAGAUUAUCUCAACAAUUAAGUAUAGGUAAUAAGUGCACUCGCUGCCUUAAUUAGACACUAGAAUAAGCGUGUUUUGUGAUCUUAUACAAUGAAAAGUUAUUCAAGAAAUCUUGAAAUUAUUUUGGAAUGGACCUCUGGAUCAUGCAUUGACAGCCUGUAUGUAGUUACCAGUUAUUGCUUACAUUGACUUAUGUGGUUAAGUUUAGUUUAUGAAUUUUAUUCAAGAUAAUAAGUAGUAAUUAUCUUUUUUUUUGUGACUGCUUCAUCAUACUUAGUAAGGCCUAAUUUAUGAACGGGUAACUAUAUCUACAGCACUUUACAUUAAGUUAAUGGAUGAACAUAUCAUAUUUGUUUGUAUGUGUGUUUGUGUUUUUAAGUUAUCCUAAUAAUUGUAUGUUUAUUUUUCACAGAAAAGUGUUGCUUGAUAGUACUGUUCUAUAAUGUAUUGUAUUUACAAUGUCUAUCUUAUUUGAAAUAAAAUAUAAAG